AUGCUUGUGUCAGCAGCAUAUAUGCUGACAUUGGAACACACACAAGAUGAGCAUGGCCCCUGGACAAGAAUGACAUGCAAAUCUGAAGCGUUCCAUUGAU
ensembl:snRNA U6 U6 spliceosomal RNA